CAGAGAGGCCGCUAACCGGGUUCCGGUGGGCUGCUGAGCGCGUUCUUGGCGUGCGCGGCGCCCGCUGAGGUUCGGGCGGGAGGAGGCGCAAUGUCGGCCGCACCCUGAUGGCCCGGCGGGCUCUGGGCCGCGGUCCCCUGGCCUCGGUGGUGUCCGCGCCGCCGCGGAAGCAGUUAAAACGGAGGCUCAGAAUACUAAUUUCUUCAGAACAAGAGGUACAACGAGUCUGAGGAAGAGUUCAAACUGAAGGUCCUAAGCACAGGUCAUUUGCAUUGCCCCAUGCUGCCCUGGACAAGACAUUGGAGUAUCAAGGAGUAAAGAUGCUAAUAGAGGAUCCGAUUACCACUUGUCUUUCUCCCUCAGUCUAUGAUAUGAUCUGUAACCUCGGGUUUGAAGUCCGAGAACGUUGUGAUAUCAAUAGCAUUGUAAGUCAGAGGGGUGAAGUAUGCUGGCAGACCAUCACAGCCUGUGUGAUCUAUACACAAUCAGCCCAGAGUCUGGAUUACCAGGGCAGCGUGAGGCUGCUGGGCCCUGUGUGUGAGGCCGUCCACUCACAUUUGUUAUCUCUGACCAAGGGGCAGUUUGAAAUCCGAUACACACCGUGGCUGCAGUGGACAGCUUUUCCAGAGUUAUUUCCUGAAAUACUUGAUGCUUUGGAAAGCCCUCAGUGUCCUGCUAUUCCUCUUAGCUUAAUGAAACUGACGGCAUGUCUAGAACGGGCUUUGGGUGAUGUCUUCCUACUGAAUGGGAAGGAUUGCCCCUUUCUUUUGAGAGAUCUGCUUGCAUCGGAAGAGCUUGCUGUGGUGUUUGGGCGGUCGGUGAUGGACGUGCUGAAAGUCUUCGUCGGAUCUCCAUGUGGACUGAACCUGCGUAAUGUCCUUUGGCACGGGUUUGCCUCUCCUCACGAAAUCCCCCCAAAAUCCUGUGGUGUUUGCACUAGAUACUGUUCAGCGAUGGUACUGUUGACCGCGGGGUUGGGUCAGCUGCUGAAGAGUUACUUGCAACGAACUGAACGUGUGCUGGCACACCGGCCUUUCGUAGCUCUUACAGACCUCGAGGAUUUGGCCGUUUUCCCUGAGGUCACUUCUGAGGUACUUUCGGUGUUAGAAGAAGUGAUGAGGAAAUCCACUUUCAUAUCAAAGGUCAUGUUGCCGUACUGGGAAGCUGCGUUAGUCGCGUUCAGGUCACACAGGUUUGCUGACUGUGCCAUGUUGUUACUGACACAGCUAGAGACGGGACUUAGGAGAGUUUUUGCCACAGUUAACAGAUGUCCGAAAAGACUUCUGACUGCUGAGUCCACGGCUCUUUAUACCACCUUCGAUGAAAUAUUGGCAAAACACUUGAAUGAUGGUGAAAUCAAUCAGCUUCCUCUUUUCCUCGGAGAGCCUGCAAUGGAGUUUCUUUGGGAUUUCCUGAACCAUCAGGAGGGCCCCCGUAUAAGAGACCGUUUAAGCCACGGGGAAGUCAACUUACCUGAAUUCCCAAAAGAAGUAGCAAACCAGCUGCUUGCGUUCUCCAUCGUACUUCUGCUGAGGUUCAUCGCGGAGGAUCUGUCGGCAGCCUGUAAGGAAAAGGCAGCAAUAAAAUCAUUGGUUGGUCUUGCAGAGGGCUACCGCGCUCACUUCCACCCAGUUUCUCAGCUUAAAAAACAGGUGCUGAGCUGCGAGAAGAGCAUCAGGGUUUGGCCCCUCCUGCCUUUGCCUGAAGAGGCUGAGGAGGCAGCCAGAGUAGAAGGUACUUCUGAAACGCAGGCCUGUGAGGCUUUAUUCACAGAAAUCCUGCGAGAGCUGCUCUGCCACUUGCCCGAGGGGGACGGUGUUGUCAGCGGCUGGGACCGUCUUCCCGAUGAGAGGUGCUCCCAGGUGAUCCAGGAGCUCUGCGGCACCCCCGUCCCAACUCUGUUCUGUCCCAGAACUGUUCUGGAAGUACUCACCGUGCUCCGGAACAUCAGCACACACUGCGCCCGCGUGUCCAGCCAGGUCGCUGCCUCUGCGGAACUGAGACACCAGCAGUGGGUGGAAAGGAGGCUGCGCUCCCGGCAGAGGCAGACCUACCUGCACAUGCUCAGUAGUAUUAAGCUUCUGUCUCCUGUGCUUUACCUGAUUUUAUUGCUGAUUGCCCUGGAAUUAGUCAACAUUCACGUGGUUCAUGGAAAAAAUACUUAUGAAUAUCAACAGUAUCUAAAGUUCUUAAAGUCAAUCUUGCGGUACACGGAGAACCUGGUGGUUUACACCAGCCAACAGAAGAACAAGUGGAAUGAAACUAUCGAUCUUACACGAACAGCGCUGUUGAAAAUUUGGACUUUUAGUGAAAAGAAACAAAUGUUAAUACAUUUAGCCAAGAAAUCCACAAGUAAAGGAGUUUUAUGAAAACACUUAGAAGUCAAGAUGCUUUUGGCUACAUCUGAAAACCCAGCCUGAAUAGGCUUUACCAGCAUGGACAUUGAAAUCCAAAGCGGUCACACCCUCCCUUGGACAGACUCUAAAUGAUAAUUUAUGGGAUUAGCCACUCAACCCUCCGGAUAUUGGAGCUGCAAUGAAAGAACUGAUACAUCUACCAAGCACAUGGAGAGAUGGGUGGAGCUCUUGUGCAACUCGCGUUUGUUCCCGGUGAGACGACAGAUGUUGGUAUUAAAAAUUCCCUUUUCUACAACCCAUUCCAUGUUCCUCUGCCUCCACCACCCACUUCUGUUGGUGGUGGUUCCUCACCUGGUGGGUUGACCCGGACCUCAUUCCUGAGAGGUCUCCCUCCAAGAAGUCUUUCUGUUUUGGGCAACUCAUUCUCCAUUGGCUCUGAUUGCUGGAAAUGGGAAUUCUAGGAGCUUCUCCAAAGGAUCUCCUAAAUUCCAGACACAGUCCUGCCUGCCCCUGUCUGGCAGCAGGCCUGUCCUCAGGGGAGUGGGCAGCAGUGACCCAAGUCAUUACAGUCAACCGGCUUUGCAUUUUGGUUCUUGGCUUGAGGCGUCCAGGGCAGCCAGGUGACCUCUCAGCCUGCAGGCCGAUGGGACACUCGUGUCACUCUGCGGAGCAGAACUUCCUAGGAACAGAUAUUCACGUCAGCAGAGCCCAAGAUUCUCGGAGGGACGUGCUAGUGGCUGAUGCAGCGGGAGGGACCAUCCCCACGUCACAUGCUUCCUCCAGCUGUGUGUUCGGCGCGGGCAAGACCACGCUGUAAGGUCAUGAGGGGCAGUUCAGGGCACAAGUCACCGCCACAACCCAGCAUCUCGAGCGGAGCCCCUGCCGUGUUGUCCAGCUGGGUGGUUGGGGGUGCAGAGCCCGAGCCGAGGUGGGGAUCAUCCACGGACCUUGUUGCCGGACUUCUGUGGGAGACAGACCUCUUAGAAGCAGUGCUGUCAGAACCAUGGCGGUGAGUAAGGCUUUCUGGGGGCCACUGACAGGCACAGAAAGGUCACGGACAUCCACAGAUGGGUCAUCAUGUCCCUGAACACCAGGGGUGAGCUCCCACACGGGAGAUGGCAUCUGCAUGUUGCUCCUUUCGGGAGCUCGAGCCGCUUCCCCUUCCUCAGCCCUUGUCCACAGCUGAGACCCACCUGCCACUGAUUUCCAGUCCUGUUCCUUCUGAGACCUGGACUGCCACUACCCGCUUUCCUGGAGACCUGUCCUCUGGACUGUUGCAUUCUCCAGGUGCUCCCAGGCAACUCUGGGUGACCGUGGGCACAUGAAGAGGGUCUUGUCACUGCGGCAGCACACGUGGGCGUCUGAACCGUCUGCCGCGCCUUCAGGACACACUUGGCCCCGCCUUGUGUGCACGUCACUUCGGUUUAACGAUGAUGC